rnacentral:rRNA from 1 species
GACGAACGCUGGCGGCGCGCCUAACACAUGCAAGUCGAACGAGCGAGAGGAGGUUUACUUUCUCAAGCGAGUGGCGAACGGGUGAGUAACGCGUGAGGAACCUGCCUCAAAGAGGGGGACAACAGUUGGAAACGACUGCUAAUACCGCAUAAGCCCACGACCCGGCAUCGGGUAGAGGGAAAAGGAGCAAUCCGCUUUGAGAUGGCCUCGCGUCCGAUUAGCUAGUUGGUGAGGUAAUGGCCCACCAAGGCGACGAUCGGUAGCCGGACUGAGAGGUUGAACGGCCACAUUGGGACUGAGACACGGCCCAGACUCCUACGGGAGGCAGCAGUGGGGAAUAUUGCACAAUGGGGGAAACCCUGAUGCAGCGACGCCGCGUGGAGGAAGAAGGUCUUCGGAUUGUAAACUCCUGUUGUUGAGGAAGAUAAUGACGGUACUCAACAAGGAAGUGGCGGCUAACUACGUG